CUACGGGACGCUCCAGUAGGGAAUUUUCGGCAAUGGGCGAAAGCCUGACCGAGCAAUGCCGCGUGAACGAUGAAGGCCUUCGGGUUGUAAAGUUCUGUUAUCAGGGAAGAACAUACGGAUUAGGAAAUGACUCCGUACUGACGGUACCUGAUCAGAAAGCUCCGGCUAACUACGUGCCAGCAGCCGCGGUAAUACGUAGGGAGCGAGCGUUAUCCGGAAUUAUUGGGCGUAAAGCGUGCGUAGGCGGUUCGUUAAGUCAAAUCUGAAAGCCCACAGCUUAACUGUGGAGGGCGAUUUGAAACUGGCGAACUUGAGUACGGCAGAGGUUAGUGGAAUUCAAUGUGUAGCGGUGGAAUGCGUAGAUAUAUUGAGGAACACCAGUGGCGAAGGCGGCUAACUGGACCGGAACUGACGCUGAGGCACGAAAGCGUGGGGAGCAAACAGGAUUAGAUACCCGCGUAGUC
rnacentral:rRNA from 1 species